rnacentral:tRNA from 1 species
GGGGCGGUAGCUCAGUCCGGAAGAGCAACAGGCUGAAGACCUGUGUGUCGCGGGUCCAAAUCCCGCUCACCCCA